rnacentral:tRNA from 1 species
AACCCUGUGAUGAAUCAACAAAUUGAAUUGCAAAUUCAAAGAAGCAGCUUCAAUUCUGCCGGGACUU